GGACCGUUAACUCAGUUGGUAGAGUAGCGGACUCUUAAUCCGUCUGUCGAGAGUUCGAGCCUCUCACGGUCCA
rfam:Aerococcus sanguinicola strain CCTG43001, complete genome.